rnacentral:lncRNA from 1 species
UUCACUAUUCACGCAGAAGCAUCAGAGGAAGAAAAAAAAGGAUUACGGCUUUGACCAAAAAGAGAGAAGAAUUCUUAGUCUUAUUUCAAGGUGCUUUAUCAUUGAUUUAUUAUUAUUUAAUUGUUAUGUCAAUUAUUAUUAUGAGUAACUAAUCUCAUCAGAUUAAGGAUUUCAGAUGAUUCUCUGUAGAACUAUUUGAACCAUGUAACUACGUGUUCUUAUUUAUGUAAUCAAAACUAAUAGUUAUUCAGUUAAUUUCGUGUUUAAUGCUUUUCUUUAUUUGGCCAAUAUCGAAUUGAUUUCAAGAAAUAAUUCACUACUGACCCUAGGUUUUAUUACUAG